UACGAAGGGGGCUAGCGUUGUUCGGAUUUACUGGGCGUAAAGCGCGUGUAGGCGGAUUGGUAAGUUGGAGGUGAAAGCCCAGAGCUCAACUCUGGAACUGCCUUCAAGACUGUCAGUCUGGACUCAAGGAGAGGCGAGUGGAAUUGCGAGUGUAGAGGUGAAAUUCGUAGAUAUUCGCAGGAACACCAGUGGCGAAGGCGACUCGCUGGACUUGUAGUGACGCUGAGACGCGAAAGCGUGGGGAGCAAACAGG
rnacentral:rRNA from 1 species